rnacentral:rRNA from 1 species
UUUAAUGAGAGUUUGAUCCUGGCUCAGGACGAACGCUGGCGGCGUGCCUAAUACAUGCAAGUAGAACGCUGAGGUUUGGUGUUUACACUAGACUGAUGAGUUGCGAACGGGUGAGUAACGCGUAGGUAACCUGCCUCAUAGCGGGGGAUAACUAUUGGAAACGAUAGCUAAUACCGCAUAAGAGUAAUUAACACAUGUUAGUUAUUUAAAAGGAGCAAUUGCUUCACUGUGAGAUGGACCUGCGUUGUAUUAGCUAGUUGGUGAGGUAAAGGCUCACCAAGGCGACGAUACAUAGCCGACCUGAGAGGGUGAUCGGCCACACUGGGACUGAGACACGGCCCAGACUCCUACGGGAGGCAGCAGUAGGGAAUCUUCGGCAAUGGACGGAAGUCUGACCGAGCAACGCCGCGUGAGUGAAGAAGGUUUUCGGAUCGUAAAGCUCUGUUGUUAGAGAAGAACG